GCAUUCUGCUUGCUUCACAGAUACUAAAAUUGGAAUAAUACAGAGAAGAUUAGCAUGGCCCCUGCACAAGGAUGACAUGUAAAUUCGUGAAGCAUUCCAUACAAAA
rnacentral:snRNA from 10 species